rnacentral:rRNA from 1 species
CCUACGGGUGGCAGCAGUGAGGAAUAUUGGUCAAUGGGCGCGAGCCUGAACCAGCCAAGUAGCGUGAAGGAUGAAUGCCCUACGGGUUGUAAACUUCUUUUGUCAGGGAGCAACGCCGGCUACGUGUAGCCGGACUGAGAGUACCUGAAGAAAAAGCAUCGGCUAACUCCGUGCCAGCAGCCGCGGUAAUACGGGGGAUGCGAGCGUUAUACGGAUUUAUUGGGUUUAAAGGGGGCGUAGGCGGAAUGCCAAGUCAGCGGUAAAAGCGCGGGGCUCAACCUCGCUCCGCCGUUGAAACUGGCGUUCUGGAGUGGGCGAGAAGUAUGCGGAAUGCGUGGUGUAGCGGUGAAAUGCAUAGAUAUCACGCAGAACUCCGAUUGCGAAGGCAGCAUACCGGCGCCCAACUGACGCUGAGGCACGAAAGCGUGGGGAGCGAACAGGAUUAGAUACCCUGGUAGUC